rnacentral:rRNA from 1 species
GAUGAACGCUAGCGGCAGGCUUAAUACAUGCAAGUCGAGGGGUAGCAAGAUUGUAGCAAUACAAUUGUUGACGACCGGCAAACGGGUGCGGAACACGUACACAACCUUCCUACAAGUGGGGAAUAGCCCAGAGAAAUUUGGAUUAAUACCCCGUAACAUAGCGAUGUGGCAUCACAUUGCUAUUAUAGCUUCGGCGCUUGUUGAUGGGUGUGCGGCUGAUUAGAUAGUUGGCGGGGUAACGGCCCACCAAGUCUACGAUCAGUAGCUGAUGUGGGAGAGUGAUCAGCGAAUGGGGAAGUAGGACACGGGCCCGACUCCUACGGGGGGCAGCAGUAAGGAAUAUUGGACAAUGGACGCAAGUCUGAUCCAGCAUGCCGCGUGAAGGAUUAAGGUCCUCUGGAUUGUAAACUUCUUUUAUAAGGGACGAAAAAAGGUCUUUCUAGAUCGUCUGACGGUACCUUAUGAAUAAGCACCGGCUAACUCCGUGCCAGCAGCCGCCGUAAUAC